rnacentral:rRNA from 1 species
CCUACGGGAGGCAGCAGUGAGGAAUAUUGGUCAAUGGCCGUAAGCCUGAACCAGCCAAGCCGCGUGAGGGAUGAAGGCUCUAUGGGUCGUAAACCUCUUUUAUAAGGGGAUAAAGUGUGGGACGUGUCCUAUUUUGUAUGUACCUUGUGAAUAAGGAUCGGCUAACUCCGUGCCAGCAGCCGCGGUAAUACGGAGGAUGCGAGCGUUAUCCGGAUUUAUUGGGUUUAAAGGGUGCGUAGGCGGCCUUUUAAGUCAGCGGGGAAAGUCGGGGGCUCAACCCCAGAAUUGCCGUUGAAACUGGGGGGCUUGAGUAUGGUUGAGGCAUGCGGAAUGCGUGGUGUAGCGGUGAAAUGCAUAGAUAUCACGCAGAACCCCGAUUGCGAAGGCAGCCUGCCAAGCCACGACUGACGCUGAUGCACGAAAGCGUGGGGAUCGAACAGGAUUAGAUACCCGUGUAGUC